ACGGGUGAGUAACGCGUGGGAAUCUACCCAUCUCUACGGAACAACUCCGGGAAACUGGAGCUAAUACCGUAUACGUCCUUCGGGAGAAAGAUUUAUCGGAGAUGGAUGAGCCCGCGUUGGAUUAGCUAGUUGGUGGGGUAAUGGCCUACCAAGGCGACGAUCCAUAGCUGGUCUGAGAGGAUGAUCAGCCACACUGGGACUGAGACACGGCCCAGACUCCUACGGGAGGCAGCAGUGGGGAAUAUUGGACAAUGGGCGCAAGCCUGAUCCAGCCAUGCCGCGUGAGUGAUGAAGGCCCUAGGGUUGUAAAGCUCUUUCAACGGUGAAGAUAAUGACGGUAACCGUAGAAGAAGCCCCGGCUAACUUCGUGCCAGCAGCCGCGGUAAUACGAAGGGGGCUAGCGUUGUUCGGAAUUACUGGGCGUAAAGCGCACGUAGGCGGAUACUUAAGUCAGGGGUGAAAUCCCGGGGCUCAACCCCGGAACUGCCUUUGAUACUGGGUAUCUCGAGUCCGGAAGAGGUGAGUGGAAUUCCGAGUGUAGAGGUGAAAUUCGUAGA
rnacentral:rRNA from 28 species